UGGUGUUAUCUAUGAUACGUAUCAUAGACAACGGUUUAAAAACCGUUAUGUAUGUGAGAAUAGAUAACGGUAUGAAACCGUUAUCUAUAAUGAUUAUACAUAACGGUUUAUACCGUUAUGUAUGAGGAUUUUUCCGUUAUGUUUUGUAUUUUUUUUGUUUUUUUUCCUAUCAUAGUUAACAGUUUUUUUUCUAUACAUAACGGUAUGAAACCGUUAUCUAUAAUGAUUAUACAUAACGGUUUAUACCGUUAUGUAUGAGGAUUUUUCCGUUAUGUUUUGUAUUUUUUUAUUUUUUUUCCUAUCAUAGUUAACAGUUUUUUUUCUAUACAUAACGGUAUGAAACCGUUAUCUAUAAUGCUU
rnacentral:lncRNA from 1 species